rnacentral:rRNA from 1 species
UACGUAGGGACCAAGCGUUGUUCGGAUUUACUGGGCGUAAAGGGCGCGUAGGCGGCGUGGUAAGUCACUUGUGAAAUCUCUGAGCUUAACUCAGAACGGCCAAGUGAUACUGCUGUGCUAGAGUGCAGAAGGGGCAAUCGGAAUUCUUGGUGUAGCGGUGAAAUGCGUAGAUAUCAAGAGGAACACCUGAGGUGAAGACAGGUUGCUGGGCUGACACUGACGCUGAGGCGCGAAAGCCAGGGGAGCAAACGGG